GUGACUCAGCCGGAGUAAGAGGGAGACGGAGUCAUCCCCAACCCUUCCUUUAAAAUACCUGAAGUCUAAUUUUGAGCAGGAUAAUGACAAGGCACGGCAAUCAGUGUGUUCAAAGUAUCCCACUUAAAGUGCAGCUGCCCUUGGUACACUCGGAUUCCAGCACUCUCAAAGGGCAGCUGAAUCCUCUUCAUGCUACAGUCAUUUUGGCCCUUCUGCUGGGAAAUACCAUUCAAAUGCCAGCUUCAUUCACUGGCACACACCCUUAGCCCGCGCACAGCCCGAAGAACUGGGCUGUGCUCUGGGGAGCAUCUCAAGGGCCAGGAAAGAAGAGGAAUCCCACUCCAGGGCACACUGGGAAUUUCUGCACCCGGACCCAGCCUUAAUGGGGAACAGUGAGCAGAAG